UCGAGGAUUUUUCUCAAUGGGGGAAACCCUGAAGGAGCGACGCCGCGUGAGGGAUGAAGGUCUUCGGAUUGUAAACCUCUGUCAUGCGGGAUCAAUGCUUACGACCUAACACGUCGUAAGUUGAUAGUACUGCAAGAGGAAGCAGUGGCUAACUCUGUGCCAGCAGCCGCGGUAAUACAGAGACUGCAAGCGUUGUUCGGAUUCAUUGGGCGUAAAGGGUCCGCAGGUGGUCCGGUAAGUCGGAUGUGAAAUCCCAUGGCCUAACCAUGGAAAGUCGUUCGAAACUGCCGAGCUAGAGGACUGGAGAGGAGGCUGGAAUAGUCGGUGUAGCGGUGAAAUGCGUAGAUAUCGACUAGAACACCAGUAGCGAAGGCGAGCCUCUGGACAGCUCCUGACACUCAGGGACGAAAGCUAGGGGAGCAAACGGG
rnacentral:rRNA from 1 species